CCUACGGGUGACAGCAGUGAGGAAUAUUGGUCAAUGGGCGGAAGCCUGAACCAGCCAAGUAGCGUGCGGGAUGAAGGCCCUACGGGUCGUAAACCGCUUUUGCACGGGGAUAACACCCUCCACUUGUGGAGGUCUGCAGGUACCGUGCGAAUAAGGGCCGGCUAAUUCCGUGCCAGCAGCCGCGGUAAUACGGAAGGCCCGGGCGUUAUCCGGAUUCAUUGGGCUAAAAGGGAGCGUAGGCGGGCGUUCAAGUCAGCUGGAAAAUCGCGCGGCUCAACCGCGCCCCGCAGUUGAAACUGGACGCCUUGAGUACACGACAGGCAGGCGGAAUUCGUGGUGUAGCGGUGAAAUGCAUAGAUAUCACGAGGAACCCCGAUUGCGAAGGCAGCCUGCCGGGGUGCGACUGACGCUGAGGCUCGAAGGUGCGGGUAUCAAACAGGAUUAGAUACCCGUGUAGUC
rnacentral:rRNA from 1 species